rnacentral:lncRNA from 1 species
AAUGUCCGAAGACCUUAGUUUAACCUAAGACUUCUGUCUCUCAAACAUCGCCUCUUGUCUCUACUCGCCAUCAACCGGAAUUUGCCAUUGGCGGCAGUGAGGCUUCAACCUACUCCAUUUUAACUUCACACAUCCUCUCCAUCCUCUCACCUUAAAUCCCUAACUCAUUUCCCUCAAAUCAUCGUCACUCGAAUCUCAAAUUUAAGUUGCACCUCCCAAUGCUUAAAACCCCCAACUCUCCCAAGUUGUCAAGAUUCAUUAGUUGAAUAUAGUAGAAGUUGGCGUUAUUGUCCGUUCUCAAUGAAAACAUAUGACUAAUGCUAAUUUUCGCCUCGAAAUUGAAGGGGCUGAAGUCUGUACAAGACCUUUGUCCGCCCACCCCUGUUAGGUAUUUCAUUUCUUCUUCCUCCAUCUUUGAUUUUACUUUCGUUCUCUGAUUUGUCUUUUUCUUUCCUUCUUUUCUUUAUUUUUCUACUUUAGAGAUUAUUUUAUUUGCAUUUUAGGAUUAAAUCGUUGAGCUCAUGGUUUUAGUUUUGUCAGGUUUUUCUUUUAUUUUUAUUCAAUAUUAGAUAAGUCUAUUUCUUCUUUUUUAGUUUAUUUUCGUUAUAGUCCAAAUAAAUUGGUUCUUUAUUGAUUUCAUCCAAAAUUAGUGUUGUUGCAUUUUUCCUUUCUUCUGCUUUCAUAUGGAUCUUGAUUUGCCUCUAUUUGGCUUGGGGACUGCCUUUCAUACAGACAUGCCUUUUAGCAUCAAGCCCAUGGGUUUUAGGUGGGUUAUUGGGUCAACUUGACCCAUGUAGUCUGCUGGGGUAGAAACAGGGGGUUUUAAGUAGGAGAAUCUUGUGUAACUGACGUAGGAAAUUGCCUGAAAGGUGGGUUUGGGAAUAUCUUGAAAAACAGAUUUUGAAAUUAAGGACUGAAUAAUAAAAAUACAAAUUGAAAAAAGGAGUAAAGGGCAAAAACUAAAAUCAUUUCUGCUGCCCUAGAGCUUCUCUAUAAAAGGGUGAUAAUAUCACUCUCAAGUCAGAUUUUUAGAGAAUGAAGAACACUGAAAAAACUUUAGGAACAACUGAGUUCUUUCUAGGCUCUAAAAUAUUAAAAUUUGGCUUACAAUUUGCUUUGUUCUGCUCCUUUAGUUCCCUUGUUAGUCUGAUUUCUCAAAAGCUGUCAAAAGUUAUAUUGAUUCUGGGUUCAAAGCUGGUUCUAAAGGCUGAAUAGUUGUUGUUUGUUUGGCUACUGUUGUUGCUGAUACUUUGCUGUUGUCCUCUUCUUAAUUUUGAGCUCAUUUCCUUGUUGUUUCGUUGAUGUAAUCAGGUACACAUCUCUAAUUCUGAACAUGUAAUAAUGGCUUAUUUGAUUUGAAGAAAUGAAGAUCUCCAUAUUUUCUUGAUGUUUUCUCUUGUCUUUUCGUCCAACCUAUUAAUUCAUUUGUUUUUUUUAGCAUGCCAAGAAAUGAUGUUAUGCCAUGAACAUUGAAACCUAUGCUGAGGAAUGUAUUUGGACUCUUAUUUGUGCUUGUAGUUUCAGCUUUGUUUUGAAUUCCUUCUCCUGAAUUUUGGAUAGUUGUACUAUCAUGUAUGAGCUCAGUGCGAGAUAGUCAAUAUCACAUAUGAUUUAAUCUUCACAAAUGUUUAGAUAGUGUAAUUUGGUCUAUACUCGAGCUCUAUGUGCCUUGUAUUUCAUUUGGACUGUUAUAACAUGGUUUGUUGUAUGCAAAUAGUACUUUAUUUCUUGAAAUUGAUAAUUGAAUGGUCCUAAAUUAGUAGUUAGUCUGCAGUCAUUUUGGAUAAGGAAAUUGGUCUAGGAUAUUAUCUUAAAAGUCGAGCCAUGUACUGAAUUACUCAUAGUUUGCUUGUAAGCAUGUUUGAGUUGAGAUUGAUAUUUAAAUUCAGAUUUGUUUAUCUAACAGUCUCAUGAGGUUCGAUUUGCAUUUAUAUGUGUUGAAGAGGAGCUUAAUUAAAUCUCACGCAAUUGUCUACUCAAGAGUUGUGUAUAGUUGAAAGCCAUGUUGGGCUCAUGUUGAUACUUGAUUUUCUGAUGCUUUUUGCAUGCCAUGAGGACUCUAUCUUGAGUCCUACAUUCCCUAACGCCUAAUUCUCAAAAGAUUUGGGUCUUCCUUUGGGCCUAGAUCUUGAGGCCACCUGAAAUGGGAAUUAGGUUGUAUUAUGCUUGGGC